AAGAGCUUAAAGUGCAUAGAGAGUGCAAUAAAAAGAGGAUUGGUACAGUAAAGUAGCCAAAAAAACUUUUAUUGUUCUAAAAUACACAGUAAAGUAUUUUACUCUUGUAUUUUAGAACAAUAAAAGUUUUUUUGGCUACUUUACUGUACCAAUCCUCUUUUUAUUGCACUUUCUAUGCACUUUAAACUCUUU